GGAGGAUCUGUAGGAAGGACAGGCACACAAGUUUACAUGAGGGUCGGGGUGCUUAGAAUUUCUAUUCAGGAAGGAAUGAAGAAGGACAAUCUGAUUAGAGAGAGGCAGGAAGGGAGCCAUCUUAAAGCUCCAUUUGUAUGAAUUAUGUGAUCAGCUCAAUGGGGUUGAUCACCAAAAAAGUAAAUAAAAAUAAGAGAUAAUUAAUGAAAACAUAGACUUGGUUUACUUAAAUGAGACACUUAGCAGGGUUUUAUGGAAAUGGAAUCUAGAAUUUCUUUAUCCCUCCUCCAGUAGGUCAUGGUAUUACAAUUACAGAUUAUAAAUAUUUGUAUAGUUUUUUCUUUUUAUAAAUGAAGCAAUGAUACCAAAGGAUUUAGGAAUCUCAACAUAUAAUUUGACCAUUUUUCUUUUUCUUCUUGUCAUUAUAGUUUGAGAUGGCCUUGAGGAGUCUGAUGAAAAUAAUAGCCAGCUAAAGCCUUUCCAACCCAAGUUUGGUCUGAUAUUGUUGCAGGAUUCAGAAACAAACAAACAAACAAAACUAGGAUUAGGGUACAAACAAUGGCACAACAUGCGGCGACACAGUGGAUAUAAACCUGUAUUAGGAAUCAGGAAAUGCAGACUCAAUCUCUGCUAUUGCCACUUGGAUUGUUACCAUGGGACACAAUGCUCCCUUGCAGCCCCUCACCUAGGAAUAUAGACAAUGAUGCCUGCCUGUCUAUCUCACAGGUUUGAAGUAAAGAUCAAAUGAAAUCAGUAAUAUGAGAGCACUUUUAACGCCUAAAGUGAUUGCACAUAUUAUUUUAUAGUAUUAUUAUUCACUUGGUAUCAUGGAUAAAGAAAGGACUUUGGAGUUAGACCUGGGUUUGAGUUCCAAGUCUACCACUCACCAAAGCUGUUUGAUUUUGUGUCACAGCAUGCUUACACUCACUGAGCUUUAUUUUUGUCCUCUCUACGUGGGGAUGAUAUAGUUGGUCUCCCAUGGGUAGUGUGCAGUGGUAUAAAAAGCAGCAGAGGCAGAGGAUGUAGGCCAUAAGAAACACAUUGUCUGUAUAGAAUUUAGAAAUGAUAAUAAAACUGAUUUAGAAUUGCUUUUUUGUAAGUUACCAUGUGCCAGCAAUAUUAAACAAUGUAUAUUAAAUAAUGCCAGUGAUAAAGUAAAUACUUCUCACUGGGGCAGACCAGGCCCAAUACACCUUCCAAUUUGGUUGGUGAUAUGGUUUGGCUGUGUUCCCACCCAAAAUCUCAUCUCAAAUUGUGAUCUCCAUAAUCCCCACGUGUCAAAGAAAAGACCAGGUGGAGGUAAUUGAAUCAUGGGGGCAGUUCCCCCGUGCUGUUCUCGUGAUAGUGAAUGAGUUCUCAUGAGAUCUGAUGGUUUUAUAAGAGUUUGGUAGUUCCUCCUGCACUCAUUCCCUUUCCUGCCGCCUUGUGAAGAAUGUGCCUUGUUUCCCCUUUGCUUUCUACCAUGAUUGUAAGUUUCCUGAGGCCUCCCCAGCCAUGUGGAACUGUGAGUCAAUUAAACCUCUUUCCUUUCUAAA